rnacentral:rRNA from 1 species
UACGUAGUGCGCAAGCGUUGUCCGGAAUUAUUGGGCGUAAAGGGCUCGUAGGCGGUCUGUCACGUCGGGAGUGAAAACACGGGGCUUAACCCCGUGCCUGCUUCCGAUACGGGCAGACUAGAGGUAUGCAGGGGAGAACGGAAUUCCUGGUGUAGCGGUGAAAUGCGCAGAUAUCAGGAGGAACACCGGUGGCGAAAGCGGCCAACUGGACGAAUACUGACGCUGAGACUCGAAAGCGUGGGGAGCAAACAGG